rnacentral:rRNA from 1 species
AGAGAAUAGAUACCCUGGUAGUCCACGCCGUAAACGAUGAGCACUAGUUAUUGGGGGUAUUGACUCCCUCAGUGACGCAGCUAACGCAUUAAGUGCUCCGCCUGGGGAGUACGGUCGCAAGACUAAAACUCAAACAAAUUGACGGGGGCCCGCACAAGCGGUGGAUUAUGUGGUUUAAUUCGAAGCAACGCGCAGAACCUUACCUAGGCUUGAACUCCUACGAACCUCUUGUAAUGGAGAGGGUGUCCGCAAGGAAAUGUAGUGAGAGGUGCUGCAUGGCUGUCGUCAGCUCGUGUUGUGAAAUGUUGGGUUAAGUCUCGCAACGAGCGCAACCCCUAUCGUCUGUUGCCAGCAUUAAGUUGGGCACUCUGACGAGACUGCCUGGGUUAACCAGGAGGAAGGUGGGGAUGACGUCAAGUCCUCAUGGCCCUUAUGUCUAGGGCUACACACGUAAUACAAUGGCGCGUACAAAGGGAGCGAACUCGCAAGGGGAGCAAAUCUCAAAAAGCGCGUCUCAGUUCGGAUUGAAGU